UACGUAGGGUCCGAGCGUUGUCCGGAGUUACUGGGCGUAAAGCGCGCGCAGGCGGCGACGCCAGCCCCGGCGUGAAAGCCCCCGGCUCAACCGGGGAGGGUCGUCGGGGACGACGUCGCUUGAGGACGGCAGGGGCCGGUGGAAUGCCCGGUGUAGUGGUGAAAUGCGUAGAGAUCGGGCAGAACACCCGUGGCGAAGGCGGCCGGCUGGGGUCGAUCCUGACGUGAGGCGCGAAGGCGUGGGGGGAGCGAACGGGG
rnacentral:rRNA from 1 species